CGCAAUGGGCGCAAGCCUGACGGAGCAAUACCGCGUGAGGGAUGAAGGCCUUUGGGUUGUAAACCUCUUUUAUCAAGGAGGAAGUUCUGACGUGUACUUGAUGAAUAAGCAUCGGCUAACUCCGUGCCAGCAGCCGCGGUAAGACGGAGGAUGCAAGUGUUAUCCGGAAUCACUGGGCGUAAAGCGUCUGUAGGUGGUUCGAAAAGUCCACUGUUAAAAAUUGAGGCUUAACCUCAAAGAUGCCGUGGAAACUUUCAAACUAGAGUAUGGUAGGGGUAGAGGGAAUUUCCAGUGGAGCGGUGAAAUGCGUAGAUAUUGGAAAGACCACCGAUGGCGAAGGCACUCUACUGGGCCAUUACUGACUCUUAUAGACGAAAGCUA
rnacentral:rRNA from 1 species